rnacentral:rRNA from 1 species
GACGAACGCUGGCGGCGUGCUUAACACAUGCAAGUCGAACGGAAAGGCCUGCUUUCCCUAGUGGAGUGCGGGUACUCGAGUGGAGAACGGGGGAGUAACACGCAAGUUAUCUGACACCAACUUGGGUAUAAGGCUGGGACACGGGGUCGAAUUGCAGAUAGGACUGCAGGGUUGUGCCUGUGGGGGAAAAUGAAUUUCUAGUGGUUGGGGGUGGGUCCGCGGGCUAUCAGCUUGUUGGGGGGGUAAUGGACUACCAAGGCGGCGGCGGGUCGCCGGCCUGGGAGGGUCGACGGCGAAAUUGGAACUGGGCUACGGCCCCGACUCCGACGGGAGGCGGGAGUGGGGAGUAUUGCACGAUAGGCGGACGCCUGAUGCCGCGACGCGGCGUGGGGGAUGACGGCCUUCGGGUUGUAGACUCCUUUCGACCGAGAGGAAGCCGCCUGGUUGGAAGGGUGGUGACGGUAGUGGUAGAAGAAGCACCGGCUAACUACGUG